rnacentral:rRNA from 1 species
GAUGAACGCUGGCGGCGUGCCUAAUACAUGCAAGUCGAGCGAACAGACGAGGAGCUUGCUCCUCUGACGUUAGCGGCGGACGGGUGAGUAACACGUGGAUAACCUACCUAUAAGACUGGGAUAACUUCGGGAAACCGGAGCUAAUACCGGAUAAUAUAUUGAACCGCAUGGUUCAAUAGUGAAAGACGGUUUUGCUGUCACUUAUAGAUGGAUCCGCGCCGCAUUAGCUAGUUGGUAAGGUAACGGCUUACCAAGGCAACGAUGCGUAGCCGACCUGAGAGGGUGAUCGGCCACACUGGAACUGAGACACGGUCCAGACUCCUACGGGAGGCAGCAGUAGGGAAUCUUCCGCAAUGGGCGAAAGCUUGACGGAGCAACGCCGCGUGAGUGAUGAAGGUCUGCGGAUCGUAAAACUCUGUUAUUAGGGAAGAACAAAUGUGUAAGUAACGAUGCACGUCUUGACGGUACCUAAUCAGAAAGCCACGGCUAACUACGU